rnacentral:rRNA from 1 species
UACGUAGGGUGCAAGCGUUAAUCGGAAUUACUGGGCGUAAAGCGUGCGCAGGCGGUUAUGUAAGACAGAUGUGAAAUGCCCGGGCUUAACCUGGGAACUGCAUUUGUGACUGCAUGGCUAGAGUGUGUCAGAGGGGGGUAGAAUUCCACGUGUAGCAGUGAAAUGCGUAGAGAUGUGGAGGAAUACCGAUGGCGAAGGCAGCCCCCCUGGGAUAACACUGACGCUCAUGCACGAAAGCGUGGGGAGCAAACAGG